CCUCAUGGAGGGGUAGGAUAAGGGGGUGUGUUGAGGAGUCUAUGGGAGGGGUAGGAAGGGGGGUAGGGGAGAUAGGGGGUGUUGAGGACUCUAUGGGCUGGAAAUGGGGCUGGAGGAGUCAAUGGAGGAACCAACAGCUCGACAAGGUGAUGGGGGGAUCCCAAAGGAGCUCGAUGGAUGGAGACGGUGUUGGAGGACCCAAUAAUGGCGUUAAAGGUGAAGGAUGAGGCUCCAGAGCAACUCAAUACCAUAGAGAUGGUGUUGGAGGACUCAAAAGUGCCAUUAAAGAUAAAGGAAGAGGCUCCAGAUGACAUUAAUGUGAUGGAGACGGUGUUGGAGGACUCGUCUAUGGUAAUGAGGGGGAUAGAGCGGCCCUCUAAGGCAAUGGAGACGGUGUUGGAGGACUCUAUGAUAGAGAUAAAGGUGAAGGAGGAGGAUCCAGAGCAGCUCGAUACCAUAGAGAUGGUGUUGGAGGACUCAUCUAUGGUAUUGAGUGGGAUAGAGCGGCCUCCCAAGGAGUUGGAGGACUCAUCUAUGGUAUUGAGUGGGAUAGAGCGGCCUACCAAGGUGUUGGAGGACUCAUCUAUGGUAUUGAGUGGGAUAGAGCGGCCUCCCAAGGUGUUGGAGGACUCUAUGGUACUGAGUGGGAUAGAGCGGCCCUCUAAGUCAAUGGAGACGGUGUUGGAGGACUCAUCUAUGGCAUUAAGGGGGAUAGAGCAGCCUUACUUGGAGGACUCUAUGGUACUGGGGGGGAUAGAGCGGCCUACCAAGGUGUUGGAGGACUCAUCUAUGGUACUGAGUGGGAUAGAGCAGCCCUCUAAAUCAAUGGCAACGGUAUUGGAGGACUCAUCUAUGGUACUGAGUGGGAUAGAGCGGCCCUCUAAAUCAAUGGCAACGGUGUUGGAGGACUCAUCUAUGGUACUGGGGGGGAUAGAGCGGCCUCCCAAGGUGUUGGAGGACUCAUGGCCGCCGUUGUCGGUGUGUUACGGGGAGGGGGAGGGGUGAGAAUAAAGAACCUUCGUGUCCCCA
rnacentral:lncRNA from 1 species